UUGGAAACCUCUCAUCUGAGUCUUCGGGGUCGGCUGCCAGGCCUGCCCCGUCUGGGAAAGGAAUGAGGGAGUGAAUUAAACCUGCAUGCAAACUCUAGUGUAGCCACCAGGGGGCACUGCGGGCACUUCCUGGGGAGCCACUUUGGUAGCAGCCUGCCCACUGCUUCCGUUGCUUUUGCUCUUAGCCAAAGUUCAGUUGUUCCCACCUGCCAACCCCUUCACCUCAACCCUCCCUCCCUCGUCUAUUGUAUCCUGCUGUGUCGCCAAGCAGCCCUGCCAGUGGGGAAAGCAGCGGAGUACUGGGGUUUACUGCUGUGGGCCGAGGGGAAGAGAGCUCAGGGGCCCAAGGGGGAGGCUGUCCAGGCGGAGGUGAUGUGGGCUGGGCAGGGCGGCCUGGUCUGCAGCAGUACCAGUGAGAGAGGAAGAUUCCCAGCUGUGGGAAUCGCGUGGAGGUGAUGAGCUCCCGUCCCUGGGACGCUGUGGGAGGGAUGCCCUCCGCGUACACCUAUGGACCUCCACCCGUGCAGGAGCCCUGCAGCCAGCCCCUCCCGUCCUCACUGCCUGCUGACAGCCCCCUCCGUUGUGACCAGCCAUGCUCUCUGCAGGGGUGGUGGCACCAAUGGGUGGUCCCUCAGGAAGGCCCGGAGGUGUGAGCAGACAACGGGGUGGGGGUGCUGGUUGCCUGGCUCCUGGGAGGCAAUCCUCGCUGUGAGCAGCACUUUGUGGAGAAAGCCGAAGGUAUUGGCAGCGCGGGCAGGAGCCCGGAGGGGUGUGUGUGAGAGCCGGAGCACUCCUGGGGACAGGAGGAAGGAGUGGAGAGCCAUCGGGGGCCUGCCCUUUGUCCUUUUGAGGGCCCAGCUCGCGAUCUGAACGGGCGCAGGUUCUGGGCAAUGCGGGGCAGGGCAGUCGCUACAGAAGGGUCGCCAGGAAGGAGGAAAGAGUGAGCACACACAGGGAGUUCUGCAUUGGAGCAACAGUUUGGGCCAGAAUUGAAGUGCUCGGCUGAGCCUUUGCUCUGAGCUCCUAGAGGCUGAUCCCGUGGGGGAAGGGCCGGGCUGUGCCGGGUGCCAGGGCAGAGGCCCCCACUGACCGCCUUACCAGGGGAAGGGCGGGGAUGACAAUGUCUUUGCACGAGUCCGUUCCCAUCCAGUCGGGAUCUUUUGGGCAACAGAGGAGGCCUCAGGGCAGACCGUUUGGUUUUGAGCUUCUUCCCCUACCCAGACCCCAAGCCCAGCCAGAGAUACCGUGAGAUCUAAGACGGAAGGAGGGGGUCAGAGAGCUCAGCCCAAGUCACCUUUGAUCUUGGCUGAACCACAGAAACAUCUGCUCCCCCCCCCCCCCCCCCCCCCCCCUACCCCCGUCAGAAUCUCCCCCUGGUUUGAGCCUCCAGGGCCCCAGGGUGGACAUGUGAAGACAGCACCAGAUGUCACCUAAUUAAGAUAAACCCAAGGCAUUCUGGGAGCCAAGAAGUCCUGCCCCCAGGACCUAACCAUAAACACCAGUGAUUCUUCUGGGCCUGUCAGGAAGCAGAAAGAUAAGGUGCAGUCAAAGCCUGGGUUUCACUGGAGCCACCAUUAAUAGACAUAGACACGCCCUGGGCAGAGAGAGACAGUCAGGUCCAAAUUCUAUUAGUGCCACCAGACAUGAGCGUCUCAGGCCGGCGAGAGCGCUUCUCGAGGCUGGAAUAAAAGGCCAGAUGUCCUGAGGGCAGGCUGGGGCAGCGGCUAGACACACCAGACUGUUUAAAGGGGCAAGGAGAAGCAUUCAGCAGACAAACUAAAAAGCCAGGUGCGCACCAAAGCUGACUCCCAUCCUGUUCUGCAGCAGGGGCUCAGGGGCGCAGCUCCCGGCAGGCUGGACCCCUGGAGCCGAAAGCACCGCAGCCCAGCAAGUCCUGCAGAACUCGCCCCGGCAAACGCCGGCCAACAAAACCCCAGGCCCGGUGGGAACGGCCACGUAGUAGAAAAACAGAAGCCCUGUCACUAAGCACUGAGACUGCUAAGAUCAUUGCCAGACAGCCCCCUCCCCUUCCCCCGAGAGCCCAAUCAGAAGGUGUGAACAUAGCCAAAAAUGCCAGAAGACACCAGAACCAGCGAGGAGUUCAAAUCCAAGAUGGAUCUGGCAUUGCAAUGACAUUCAGCUGGGAUGCGCCGGUCCAGACAGACUGGUGCUUAAAAUACAGAAAUACCUGAUGGUACACAGCUCUGGCCUGGUCCCUGAGCGCCCCCACGCUGUGACCGCUCCCCGUUCCCACGAUCCAGCAAAAGGGGCUUCUUAGCAGGCUCCGGGCGGCCGCUCCAGCGCGAUGGCCAGGGGGCGCCCUUUGGGGUGGCCGUGCUGGUUUAGGGAGGCAAAGCCACUUGCCCAGUCCCAGAGCUGGUAAGUGGCAGCACGGGGACUCGGGCUGACCUGGGAGCGCAGGCUCUUAGCCAUUUUGCCGUAGGACCCAGACAUGUGCCUAGAGAAGGCAAUAGAAGCUUCCUUCCCCCGACAGUCCUUCAACAUAUUGGUCAUGUUAAAAUCUCAAUACACUUGUGUGGGUACAUUUUGGCCAUAGCUUCCUAAAUAGCUAAGGAGAAUCUAUAUGAAGGCCAACCAUUUGCAGAGCCCUCGGAUAAUCCCCGGGCUCUGAGGAACCCAGUUUGAAGAUCCUGAACUGGGCUAAUGCGGGUUUGGGAAACCAUGGCUCCUUGGGCCCACUACCUGUUUGUUUUUUUAAACCUUUUCCUGGAGCACGGCCAUUUCUAUUUGCUUAUGUGUACGUGUGGCUGCUUUCACACUGCAGCAGCAGAUCUGAGUUACUUCAACAGAGAGCGAGGCCCUGAAAAUAUUUUUCUGGCCUUUUACUCAAAAAGUUUGCGGACCCCCCCCAGGCUAAGGCGAGCAUGCCCAGCCUGCCCUCCGGUGGGAAGGACCUGCUCUCAUACCCCUAAGCACUCGGAGGCAGAGGCUGGCUCUGCUGCCGAGGGGAAAGCAUGAGGGCAUAUGCGCCCACCAGUGGGAAUUGUUGGGGCUGUGGAGUCUCAUGGGUACUGACUAAGUACCUCGAUGCAGAUCCUUGUCAUCUGAGACAUCAGGAUUUCAAGUUUUGACGAUUUUCAAGUGACCCAGCGCCCUUUGUAAUUCAAAAUGUGGUUGAGGUGCAGAUUUGAGUGGAGUGUGCCCUCCCAAGCUGAUGGGUGAGGGGCAGGAGCAGCGCCCCCGUCUAGGGCUAAGUCCAGCUGGCUGUCCAGCAUCUGCUCAGGGUAGUUUUGUUGUUCUUGACUUGUUAUUGUCCUCAUGGGGCUCCUUGGGAAUGAUCAGUGCCGGAAGAUGGCUGGGCCUGAGCUCAAUAUGAAUUCUGGGUAAAGGGAAGUGCCCCAUGCUGACUCAGUGCUCAGAUCAAACAGGUCAUCCCAUGCUCUCCGUGGAAGUAAGAGCAUGCUCUUCCCAAGGACCGUCCCAGUGAGGGCUUUAGCUGGCUCAGGAGUUACUGAUCAAGCGAGAGAUAAACUCCAGUGACGUUUGGAAUGGCAGUGUUCCUGUGCAGUGAGGUGUGGGCAAGAAACACUCAUACCCUCAUCAUGGGAUUGUGUUGCGGGAGAAACCUGCAGAUGUAGGGAUUUACCGAUGUUCCAGGAUCCAUGGCAAGAAUGACAGUGUGGAAGCCAUGUUUUUUGGUCGCUGUUCCAUCAUGACGCUCUUCUCUGCUAAGCCCAGAUUCAGAAUCCUUCUCAACCCAGCAUGCCUGGCAGUAUAGCGACCAGGGGGUUGGAGUGGGCAUGAAAGUUGAAAACAUAUUUUGCCAUUCCCAUUGGAUAUUGCUUUGGAUGGGACAUGCGAGGCCCUGAAUGCUUAUUUUCAGAUAUUGUAGUUCAGCGCUGAGACACAAAGGGCAGAAUACAAAGAGGGAGAAUGGCUGCCUGUAGUUGGUGGCUUCUUAGGUGUGUCAGAGACGCAGUGUCCUUGGUUUCACCUUCUUCGAGCCAAGUGCAAACACCCCUCCCGCCAGCAGGUGGCACUGCAGGCCGGCACUCAGCUGCUUGUGGCAGUAACAGUGGUUUUAUCUGCUGGUUAUUUUUCUCUCCUUCCAUGGUUUUUGGUGCUGUGCUGAAUUCUGGCAGGUAGCUUAGCCAAAAUGUGCUUUAGGUGCUCUGAAAACGUGUUAAAAUGUAGCUGCCUGAUGAGCUCAUUGCUUUUACCAACAACCGCUGUGAUUGUGUGUAUGGACACACUCAAUAUGUAGAUGUGUGUAAUGGAUCAGAUAUCUCUGCUGACGGCAUAUGUGUGUGUGUGUGUGUGUGUGUGUACAGGAUGAUUAUCUGCUGACUAAAUGUCCUGGAAUCCACAUCCUGAUGGCCAGGACUGCUUCCUGAGACUAGUUCUGACUAUUCCUGUCAUCUCAUGGGCAUUUGCUGGGGCCAGGCCUUUUCUCUUUCUCGCUUCCCCGCUCUGGCCAACAAGGUCUCGGCUCCUAACACUCUGCUUCUCACCCCUCCCCUCUUCAGCCUCGAGAACUCCUUUCGGCUACACCUGCCUUACCAUCUCUCCCUGUUUCCCCUCCCCCUGACAGGCCAGGGCUAACAUGUAUAGGGGUAAAACUGUGCACAAAUCCAGAUGGAGCCGUUCACACUCUGACAUGAGGGGCACCUCCUCGGCACCUGCACGACCUGCUGUGCACAGCUGCCCUGCUCAUCUCAAUGCCAUGGGUCGAACAGCUGCCUUCGGCACUGCACCCCGAUCCCCCCCCACACACACACACACAGCCGAGGCGGGGAUUCCUCCCUCUGCUUGGGUGUUCUCAUCUGGCCCAGAAGUCACUUACCCUGGACCUCGGUCAGGAAGCACCUCCCUGACGGGCCAUCCCUCAGAGGCCUCUGGGACUCCGUUUAUGAAAGUGAAAUAUGGCUGGCCACGUUUCAGUUACUCAUCUGUGAGGCAAACCGAAGCUCAGCAGCCUGGAGUCACUGACUCCCACACUCCUGGCCUUCAUGGGCCAACUGAUAAGAUGGGUCUGCUGAGGAGUUAGGGUAAAGGCCUCGGGGCCAGAAGGACAGCUGCCACUAAAUAGAAAAUCAGGACAUCACCACAGACGGGAUGCCCGGGCCACGUCCCAAACCCGAUGCCUCCAAGGGCCAGGCAGGAAACGAAAAUGAGCAAAGAGGACUAGGCAGG